rnacentral:lncRNA from 1 species
UUAGGGUUCAUGUUGCACUCCCUAAAGCCUCCACUAGAUGUCAACAGUCUUUAGAACCUUGUUUGGGGAUUCUAUGUUGAAUUUGAAGGGAAUAACAGCCCAAGGAAGUAGGUGUCCCAUUAUAAGGCAUGGGUUCAGUCACGCGCAGGGACUUGGGAGCGAGCUGAGUUCACAUUCAUUCCUAAAGAGAACGGAUAGGUCCGGUUGGAAUUUUAUUGAAGAUAUGUGUUAAAAACAACCUAAAGAUUGAUUCUAUACAUCGUUUGACGUUUCUACAAACUGUAGUAGAACUUUUUUGACUUUUCAUCUGGACUAAGUAAGCACGCGCCUUGUGGAUUUGGAUAGUGAACCUAACGUGUGAACAAAAUGUAUGUAUUUGGACAUAAAGAUAAACUUUAUCAAACAUUUAUUGUGGAGCUGAGAUUCCUGGGAGUGCAUUCUGAUGAAGAUAAUCAAAGCUCAUGAAACAUGGGACCAACACUUUACAUAUUGCAUACCUCAGACUGGUGCGAAGGAUCAUCUUCCAAUAGGACAACGACACUAAGCACACAGCCAAGACAAUGCAGGAGCGGCUUCUGGACAAGUCGCUGAAUGUCUGAGUGGCCCAGCCAGAGCCCGGACUUGAACCCGACCGAACAUCUCUGGAGAGACCUGAAAAUAGCUUUGCAGCGAUUCUCCCCAUCCAAUCUGACAUAGCUUGAGAGGAUCUGCAGAGAAGAAUGGGAGAAACUCCCCAAAUGCAGGCGUGCCAAGCUUGUAGUGUCAUACCCAAGAAGACUCAAUGCUUUAAUCGUUGCCAAAGUUGCUUCAACAAAGGACUGAGAUCAUACAACACCUUCCAGAUCACAUGACCACCUUCCAGAUCACAUGACCAUCUUCUAGAUUUCUCGUUGGAUGAAGAUUGAAUGGAACAAUACAGUUUUCUCCAUGUGAAAAGAUUCCUACAUCUCACAUUGAUUCAUCACACAUCAGAUGAGGGACCAGAAAAGAAGGGAAGCGAGGCGGAGGAGUGGCUGUGGUGGACAUCUAUCACUGAAUGUGAAUUGGCGAGCUCUGGGCACUGGGGUGCUAAGGCAAGGUACUGCAUGGACAAUUACUGAUGCCAAAGUAAAAGUAAGAAAAGGAGGGAAAAUGACAAGAGGAAGAAAAAAGAGCAAAGAGAGGGGAAACUGAGAGACUUCCAGUCCAAAAGCUUCCACCUCGUUGGUGUGGUAUACGUUUCUGCGUGUGACAGCAGAGAAUGAUUCAUAUCCUGUGAUGCGUAUGGUUUUGACAGUAUGAGUUAUUCCCCUCCCUUUGGCUAGAUAGUCUUUUGUGUUGUGUUGGGCUGGCUGAGGAAGGGGAGGUCAGUAGGAUGAAAUGGAAGCUUUUCUAUCACUGCUCCACUGGUCUGAGUCGGCUUGCCAGGAGGAGGAAACAGGCGGGACGACCUCAAUGGUCUCUCUGUACUCUCUGUACUGUACCUCACGCACACACACACACACACACACACACACACACACACACACACACACACACACACACACACACACACACACACACACACACACACACACACACACACACACACAGAGAAACAGUCAUCAUUUACCACUUCCUGUUUCUACCAGCUCUGACAGUCAAACGUCAAAUUUAGAAGUUGUUCAAAAAGUCAAAUUUACAAGUAUUUAAAGUUAAGUUUAGGCAUUAACACAAAAAUCUUUAAUUUAGGGUUACGUUUAUGCAUUAACUGCACAUUUUUAAGGUAUAAGUUAACCUCAAUUUCUCAUUCUUAUUAUAUUAAUUCUCAUUCUUAUUAUAUUAAUUCUUAUUAUAUUCAUUCUCAUUAUAGUAAUUUUCAUUUUUAUUAUAUUAAUUAUCAUUCUUAUAUUAAUUCUCAUUCUUAUUAUAUGAAUUACCUUUCUUGUUAUAUUAAUUCUCAUUCUUAUUAAAUUAAUUCUCAUUCUUAUUAUAUUAAUUCUCAUUCUUAUUACAUGAAUUUACCAUUGUUAUUAUAUUCAUUCCCAUUCUUAUUAUAUUCAUUCUCAUUCUUAUUGUCACGGUUGUUGUAUGAUGAAGGAGCGGAUCAAAGUGCAGCGUGUGUAUCGUUCCACAUUUUCUUUAUUAAACUGUGAAACUAUGCAAUACAUACAAAUAAACUGAAGAACAAAAAACAACAAACCGUGACGAAGAGGUGAAACUCACACUAACUCAAAAACAAUCUCCCACAAACCCAGGUGGAAAAAACAACUACUUAAGUAUGAUCUCCAAUUAGAGACAACGAUGACCAGCUGCCUCUAAUUGGAGAUCAUCCCAAAAAAACAACAUAGAAUUACAAAAACUAGAACAUAACAACAUAGAAAAUCUAAACUAGAAAACCCCCCUGUCAUGCCCUGACCUACUCUACCAUAGAAAAAUUUGUAAGUCGCUCUGGAUAAGAGCGUCUGCUAAAUGACUUAAAUGUAAAUGUAAAUGUAAAAUAACAGCUUUCUAUGGUCAGGACGUGACACAUAUUUUAUUAAUUCGCAUUCUUAUUAUAAUAAUUCUCAUUGUUAUUAUAUUCAUUCUUAGUAUAUUCUUAGUAUAUUCAUAAAUAAAAAGUUACAUGCAACUGAAAAAUUGGAGGAGCAGAAGAGGUGGGUCUGGCGCAUGUGCACCAAAAACAAAAGGUAUUUUUCCGGUUGCAUGUAACUUUUUAUUGAGAUCUUUUUGAAGUGCAUACCGGCCGUAGAGACAGUAAUGACGAUAGUUUCACUCCAUUCUUUGGUAAGUAAAGAACAAAUUUGUACAUUAUUAAACUUUAAAUACUGGUGAAUGGCAUGUUGAAAGGCUGUUUUCUGGGCUUAAAGGAGAAUCACCCACAUUCAAUGUCUCCUGUAAACCCAGAUUCUAGUUCAUAUUUACUGUAUGUUUUGACCUGCACAAUCUCAAACAAACGUCGGGCUUUUCAGUGUUUGAAAAGAAGGAUAAGGAGCAUUCCAGUAAAACAGUUGAUGUACUGUCCUAUAUGUGUUCUGGGACAAGAUAGGGACCCAACAUUUCUGUCAAUGUCCUCAAGUAUUUAUGAUCAACAUGUCCUGAGUCAAAUGAUCAACGAUGCAUCGACAGUUCCAUAAUUUCUUUACAACUUCCCAGUAGAUUAGGAUUGGCCUUUGACCACCGACGACAAACCACCUUUAGGAUUAGGAUAGGUCUUCGACCACCGACGACCAACCAACCUUAG